rnacentral:rRNA from 1 species
UUAGUGGCGGACGGGUGAGUAACGCGUGGAAAACCUGCCGUAUACUGGGGGAUAACACGUUAGAAAUAGGUGCUAAUACCGCAUAAGCGCACAGCUUCGCAUGAAGCGGUGUGAAAAACUCUGGUGGUAUACGAUGGUUCCGCGUCUGAUUAGCUAGUUGGUGGGGUAAUGGCCUACCAAGGCAACGAUCAGUAGCCGGCCUGAGAGGGUGAACGGCCACAUUGGGACUGAGACACGGCCCAAACUCCUACGGAAGGCAGCAG